rnacentral:rRNA from 1 species
AUUGAACGCUGGCGGCAGGCCUAACACAUGCAAGUCGAGCGGAUGAAGGGAGCUUGCUCCUGGAUUCAGCGGCGGACGGGUGAGUAAUGCCUAGGAAUCUGCCUGGUAGUGGGGGAUAACGUCCGGAAACGGGCGCUAAUACCGCAUACGUCCUGAGGGAGAAAGUGGGGGAUCUUCGGACCUCACGCUAUCAGAUGAGCCUUGGUCGGAUUAGCUAGUUGGUGGGGUAAAGGCCUACCAAGGCGACGAUCCGUAACUGGUCUGAGAGGAUGAUCAGUCACACUGGAACUGAGACACGGUCCAGACUCCUACGGGAGGCAGCAGUGGGGAAUAUUGGACAAUGGGCGAAAGCCUGAUCCAGCCAUGCCGCGUGUGUGAAGAAGGUCUUCGGAUUGUAAAGCACUUUAAGUUGGGAGGAAGGGCAGUAAGUUAAUACCUUGCUGUUUUGACGUUACCAACAGAAUAAGCACCGGCUAACUUCGUG